rnacentral:rRNA from 1 species
AUUGAACGCUGGCGGAAUGCUUUACACAUGCAAGUCGAACGGCAGCACGGGGCAACCUGGUGGCGAGUGGCGAACGGGUGAGUAAUACAUCGGAACGUGCCCAAUCGUGGGGGAUAACGUAGCGAAAGUUACGCUAAUACCGCAUACGAUCUACGGAUGAAAGCGGGGGAUCGCAAGACCUCGCGCUAUUGGAGCGGCCGAUGGCAGAUUAGCUUGUUGGUGGGGUAAAAGCCUACCAAGGCGACGAUCUGUAGCUGGUCUGAGAGGACGACCAGCCACACUGGGACUGAGACACGGCCCAGACUCCUACGGGAGGCAGCAGUGGGGAAUUUUGGACAAUGGGCGAAAGCCUGAUCCAGCCAUGCCGCGUGCGGGAAGAAGGCCUUCGGUUGUAAACCGCUUUGUCUAGGGAAGAAACGGCUCGGUCUAAUACAUUGAGCUAAUGACGGUACCUGAAGAAUAAGACACCGGCUAACUACGUGCCAGCAGCCGCGGU